UCUCCCUACAACCAAGAGGCUCCAAUAAAGUGUGAUUUGGGAAGAAUCCUCGUCUGGUGGCUGUUCUUUCCUGCUGGUCAGGGAGUUCGCCGAACUAAGUAUACUUAAAGCUUAGGCUGGCUUUAACUACAAAGCACAAGCUGACCUUCAGUUCGUGAUUGUCCUGAAUGAGGUGCUUUUGUUGCCGUGAUUAUAAACCUGCACCACCACACCCAUAUCUGAAAACCGCAUUCCAAAAGAAAAGAUACAGAGUCCAAUUUAGAGUUGAUGGCUGGAAAAAAAAAUGCUUAGAGAAACAAGAUGGAGUCUUUGUCACCCAAGGAAUGAAAGGACAAUGAUAUUGCUUAAAGAGGGACUUAGAGGCUCUUUCCAGUGAGAAAGACACCUGGGGCAGAAGGCACUUGGGACCAGCAUCCUUCCUGAAGCUCACAGUUUGAUCCAGUGGAAUUGAUCAAGUAUAUACAGGAUGGUGCUACCAGUCUCCAGAUGAACUAGCUUCAACUUCUUACUCAGAUGCAUCUUCCUUCCUUAGUUGGUACUCACAGGAAAUACCCCUCAGAUACCCACAAAGGAAGCUGAAAUUAAGGCUGAGACUUUAGUAGCAGAACUGUCCACAUGACCUCUCUCUUUAGUGUCAUUCCCCUCAGCAAGCUCCAUAUAAAACAACCACAUCAUCAGUAUGAGUAUUCCACAUAUCCGCUGGUGACCACGGUGCUUUAAGGUGGUCAUUUGGAGGCAACGUAACACCACGGAAUCAUUUGGUAUUGACUUUAUAU